rnacentral:rRNA from 1 species
UACGUAGGGUGCAAGCGUUGAUCGGAAUUACUGGGCGUAAAGCGUGCGCAGGCGGCUUUGCAAGACAGAUGUGAAAUCCCCGGGCUCAACCUGGGAACUGCAUUUGUGACUGCAUGGCUAGAGUACGGUAGAGGGGGAUGGAAUUCCGCGUGUAGCAGUGAAAUGCGUAGAGAUCCGGAGGAACACCAGUGGCGAAGGCGACACGCUGGGCCGUACCUGACACUGAGGCGCGAUAGCAUGGGGAGCAAACAGG